AAGUCGUGUGAGAAAGUCGUACA
rnacentral:snRNA from 1 species